CUACAGCCACAUAGCUAGAAUUUCUUCACAAACAAUUCUCCUUUUGUCCUUUCAAUUCAAGACUUUUCCACAAAAUGGUUAAUUAACAAAAACUGCUCCAAGGUUUGCUAAGGUUUCUACACGUUCAUUAUUGUUGUUGAUUUCAAAUAAUUGCUUUUCUCCACUGAAAACAGGCUGAACACACACCUGCAAAGAGGGCCAAAAAGCCCUGCUCUGGAUCUAGGGCUGAUGAGUCUACACGUAAUACAGCAGAGUAAGAUGAACUAGAUUUUGGCCCCGCAGACAAAGUAAGCGGCUGCAAAGCAAGUUCAAGCCUGGAAGAUAUCACCACAAAAAGUGCUGCUAUUGUAGUUCUAAUUUUUCUUGAAGUUAAUUCAAUGCAAGAUGUUACAGUUGAAAAGCAUCUUUAUCCUCUAGCCAAGAAAUUAACCGUCAAAUAUCGUUCAUUGGGAAAAGAUCAAUUAUCUGUAAAGAUAGCAAAAGCACUUAUCAGUCAAGGCUACAUUGAGGUCAGAAGUCCUGUGAAAUGUGUUGAGGUUAACUUCUUGAAUCUUAACAGAGAUAUUGUGUGCAAAAAGAAGGAUCAACUUAAGAGUAAUUAUCCAGACCUAGAGGAGUAUGAUGAUAAUGGAGACACAGAUUCAAUAACCACUGCUUUCUUUUUCAAUCUAUUCUGGUGGUUUUGAAGUCUUUUAUACUUCUUAAUGUAGAGACCAUAAAUGCCUUGUUCCAGUUAAAUUGACAAAUGACUUGUUGUCAAAAUCCAAUGUUGUGUUAAACGCAAGGUAGAUAGCCCAGUUAUCUUGCUGAAGGGGAAGUAAUAUUGUAUAUGGUUUAAAUCAGUCGGUAAGAGAAAUCCUCCUUAAAGGGCUUAAAAUUCGAAGCUUAUAGACUUGGAAGAUGUGUUUUUUGAAGCACAUUUUGUUUAAAUGUUUGCAUUUUACUUACAAUGCAUGUUAUUAGUUACCAACAUAUUUCCAAAAUGUUGGAAUUGUUUAUUUUAAUGUAUAAGUGCCACACUGCUAUACAUACGCAUGUAACUCAUUUUAAUCAAAGAUUUUAAAACAAUGGUUUCCACAAAUAUCAAGGAUAUUUCUCUAUGUUGGAAACUAAACUUUGCUUCCCAUCUUACUAACUAGUAAUUUUCCUUUGUUGGUACAUAAUAAAAAAUUACUUUUACCAA